UACGUAGGAGGCGAGCGUUGUCCGGAUUUACUGGGCGUAAAGCGCGUGUAGGCGGUACGAUAAGUCUGCUGUGAAAGCUCCGCGCUUAACGAGGAGAGGUCGGUGGAUACUGUCGCACUUGAGGACGGUAGAGGGGGGUGGAAUUCCCGGUGUAGCGGUGAAAUGCGCAGAUAUCAGGAGGAACACCGGUGGCGAAGGCGGGUCUCUGGGCCGGAACUGACGCUGAGGAGCGAAAGCGUGGGGAGCGAACAGG
rnacentral:rRNA from 1 species